rnacentral:rRNA from 1 species
AGAGUUUGAUCCUGGCUCAGGAUGAACGCUAGCGGCAGGCUUAACACAUGCAAGUCGAGGGGCAGCACGAUGUAGCAAUACUUUGGUGGCGACCGGCGCACGGGUGCGUAACACGUAUGGAACUUGCCCUUUACUGGGAGAUAGCCCUUCGAAAGGAGGAUUAAUAUCCCAUAACAAACGAGGUGGCAUCUUUUUGUUUUGAAAGCUCCGGCGGUAAAGGAUGGCCAUGCGCACGAUUAGCUAGUUGGUGAGGUAACGGCUCACCAAGGCUACGAUCGUUAGGGGGCCUGAGAGGGUUAUCCCCCACACUGGUACUGAGACACGGACCACACUCCUACGGGAGGCAGCAGUGAGGAAUAUUGCGCAAUGGAGGAAACUCUGACGCAGCCAUGCCGCGUGCAGGAAGAAGGCGCUACGCGUUGUAAACUGCUUUUAACCGAGAAGAAACCCCUUUACGUGUAAAGGGUUGACGGUACCGGAGGAAUAAGCACCGGCUAACUUCGUGCCAGCAGCCGCGGUAAUACGAAGGGUGCAAGCGUUAUCCGGAUUCAUUGUGUUUAAAGGGUGCGUAGGCGGGGCGUUAAGUCAGUGGUGAAAUCCUGCAGCUCAACUGUAGACUUGCCAUUGAUACUGACGCUCUUGAGUGCGCUUGAAGUAGGCGGAAUGUGCCGUGUAGCGGUGAAAUGCUUAGAUAUGGCACAGAACACCUAUUGCGAAGGCAGCUUACUAAGGCGAUACUGACGCUGACGCACGAAGCCGUGGGGGAUCGAACAGGAUUAGAUACCCUGGUAGUCCACGCCAGUAAACGAUGAUCACUCGUCAUGACGAUAUACUGUCAGUGACCUAGCCGAAGCGUUAGUCGAUCCACCUGGGGGGGAGUACGAUCGCAUGAUGGAACUCAGUAUCGACGCGCGAAGCGUGGAAACCAGGUGAUUAACUCGAAUGGAAUAC